rnacentral:misc_RNA from 1 species
UCUCCGUUGGUGAACCAGCGGAGGGAUCAUUACAGAGUUGUAAAACUCCCAAACCCAUGUGAACAUACCUCUGUUGCCUCGGUGGGCUCGCGGGGCCGCUACCCUGUAGCUACCCUGUAGACCACCGACGGACCACUAAACUCUGUUUAUUAUACAUCUCUGAGUACAACUAUAAAUAAGUUAAAACUUUCAACAACGGAUCUCUUGGUUCUGGCAUCGAUGAAGAACGCAGC